GUUGCUUUUAUCUGUUGUUCCCAGAACGGACAGCUGCAGCAGCGUUUGGACAACGUCCAGAGGGACUUCAUUGUCUUCAACAGAGAAAAGUCAAGGAAAGUCGUAGUGGAUUCUUCUGAACUAUCCACAAGCGAGAAGAACAAGGCAAUAGAGGACGGACAGAACAACAAUGUUGAACCAGCUGCCUAUUUAUCAGGAUAGGCUUCCUGCUCCCAGAUCCCCACCUCAUCACUUGCACUUGCCUCAAGCUUGCAGUUCAGCAACUUACAAGCAAAACCUAUCAUUCUGUCAGCACAUGCACUCACACCUGGUCCUCUAUGUUCCUGCACUCCUCCAUAGUCUGUAAAAUCUCAAGAACAGCACUGUGCACACUUGUUUCACACCAUUAGACCUAAAAAGCAGCUAGGCGUCAAAAGAUGGUGUCCCUGGGAGGCAGCCAUGUCAGAGACUGACUGACGGACUGCUUUGCUGUCACCAAACGGAUGGACUCCCAGCAGAGUCUCGUAUCAUUUUCCCUUCCGUCACCCUGGUGCUCUUACGUCUGCUCAGCCUCGGUUCUGAGCAGAGUGCUGUAGCAAGAAGUCAGAUCAUUUCCAAAACCAAGGCAGCAGAGCACCUCCACCUGAAUGUACUGACACUGGUUUUAUUAUGAGAGGUUUUCUAGGUAACUAUGGUCAUUUAAUUAUAACAUUGCAGUUGGUAGUGCUACAUAAUGGAGCUGUAAUUUCACAGAAGGUAAAGGUUAUUUUUAUGGAAAGAAGACGUUUCUUUCUGAAAAUGUACCAAAACUUACUAGGUACUUUCCAUAAUGAACUGUGUUUUUUUUUUUUUUUUCUGUAGCUGUUUUUGGUACCUUCCCUGAAGAUUUUACAGAACUUAUCAGACACUUUCUGGAACAUAUUAGUUAAUUUCCUGAAACUCAAAGCUAUAUUUGGAACCUUACGGGUAUUCUAGUGAGUUCUGAAUGGUAACCUCUAAGUUUAUGAAAGUAUCCUCUAAAUUAAAGUAGUUAAGUUCAGGAGAAAAACUUGUAAUUUCCAGAUACUAUCUGAUACAGCACAUUGAGAAAGUAUUCACCCCUCUUGGCAUUUCUUGUGUUUUCUAGCUCACAACCUGGAAAAGGGGAUUAUUUUAGGAUUUGCAUCAUUUCAUUUAAAGAACAUGCAGCUUUCAACAUUUCAUUUUGUUUUUAUUGUGAAACAAACACAUUACAUCUGCAAGUCAUGCUGGAUACGUCUCUAAGAGCUCGCCUCGUCUUGCUGCUGGGAUUGUUGCCCAUUCCUCAAGAUAAACCUUCUCUAGCUCUAGAUGGUUUCCGGUGGUGAACAGCAAUCUUUAAGUCUGUCUGCAGAUUGUCAAUUGAAUUGAGGUUUGGCCUUUGAUUAGACAUUACCAAUACAUUUAAAACUUCCCAUUAAACCACUUGAGUGGAGCUUUAGCAGUAUGCUUUGGGUCAUUGUCUUUUGAAAGGUGAACCUCCGUCCCAGUCUCACAUCGCUGACAGACUGAAGCAGGUUUUACUUCAGAAAAUUCCUGUGUUUAGCUCCAUUCAUCUUCCCCUCUGUCUUUUCUUGGGGUGCUGAGAUGUAUUGAUUAUGAGCCAGACAUAAUGGUUUCCUUGGUGACUGAAAAGUGAAGUUUUAUUUCUCCCAUAAAGCUCAGCUCUAUGAAGUUGGUCAUAUGAACAGAUACUCCAGUAAAGCUUAACACAAAGAAAUAUCAAGAUUGGUGAAUAGUUUCUCAUGGUACUGCAGGUUCAGGAAAGAACAUGGUAUGUCUUGCUAUGUAACCUAGAGGUUAUUGAAAACUAUCUAAUAAGUACCUAUGAGUAAUCUAGGUACUUGUCAGACAAUUUUCCAGAAAAUGCCAGAUAUGUUGUGGAAAGAGUCUGGUAAGUUUUGGAAGGUGACAUCCGAGUCCCAGGAUAGUAACGUGUUAGUUCUAGGAAAUAUUCAGUUCGGUGGAAUAAUCUCUGCAUUCCAGAGAGUAACCUGAAAGGUCUGCAGGAACAUGAGCUGUCAUGUAGCGCCGCCAACUUUAAAGUGAUUCUUCAUCCUGUGUAUGAAAGCCUGAAACAUUUAAUAAUAAUAAACCAUUGCACAGAAAAAGUUUUCCUCUAUGAUCCAUAUAACAUUGGAUACAAGCAUGACAGAAGUAGCAUUAUUAAACUGCUAGUCUUAUUAGACAAAACCAAACUUUGAUUUUAGCGAUGUAAGAAUGAUUCGAAUUCAAUUAGAGGCUUGAAAAUGAAUGGCUUGCUUUUUUCAGGGCAAUAUUUAAAUGGUUAGUGAUCCUGAUGCUUAGCUUGGCUAAUUAAGCUAACAGUGAUUAUAGGUUUUUAACACUUAGUGUCAUGCAGCAUAUCAGACUGUCAGAGAAAAAAGUUAAAUUUUUGUGAUUUACUCACAGUUGAGGUUUUUAGUUCUAGAAAAAUUUGUUUGUGGAAUCAAACAAGAAGAUAAAACAUGAUUUAAUCUUGAGGGAAACUAGGAAACUAAAUGUUACCGUAAUUGAUUACCCUUGACCAAGAGAAUUAAAAAAAACAAACUUAGCCUUGGUCUGCAAAUGACCUACUAGGGAAGCAAAGAGAAACCAAUUGUUGUUUUCUCUUUUUGCACAUGUUGUUUUCAUUAUUGGUAGCAUUUAUGCAACUAAUGCUAUAAAUGAAUAAAUCUUAGGGAUGGACAGAUGAAUUUCAUCAGUUAGCGUCUGCACUCUCUGCCAGAUGUGUGUUGAUGUAUUUCCUCUUUUGAGUUGAUUUUAAUCAGUUAUUUAUCAUUUGAAAUGCUCAUUGUCAGUUUGUCUCUGCAAACUGUUUGUAUGAUAUUCAGAUCCAGGAUUCUGCGCCUGGCACACAUGUGAGGCAACAAAACGUUGUCUAGUUAUUAAAAUAAACAUUUCUCAUCAGCUCAUCCCCUCAAAAUAUUUGCCUGCUUGCACAAAGAGGGAUGCCUUAUAGAUAUCACACUAAGCUAACUCCUGUAUGUAAAAGUGAUGAAAUCCCCACCUUUUUUCAAGCUACUAAAUAAAAAUAUAAACUUUAGCGAUGACUCCACUGACUGCUGUUGUCUGGCUGCAAUGUGAGUCAGUCCUUUCAAUCUUCUUUAUUAUUCUUUAUUAACUUUAAAAUAAAUUUAGUUAAAUUCAUUAGUAAUGGCACUUUUCUAUUUAAGAUUGGUACAAUGUUUUGACUUACCUUUGUGUUCUUGUUGUUCUUGUUGAGGUACUUUACAGAUCUAAAGAUGGUACCUUGUGUAAGUUGGGAUAGCUAAAGGAUUAGUAUGAGCCUGUUUUACUGUGUAAAUAAUAUUUGGGGAACAAUUAUUCAAACUUGUACAUUUAAAGUAGCAUUUGACUACUAAAAAGGGGGAGUGUAUUGAAUAAAAUGAGUGAUAUUCAACCAAAAUGAUUUCUGGCAUUGACAUUUGAAUAACAUUUACAAAUAGUAUUUAUGCCGGGUAAAUCAAAUUAAAAGGGAGGAUUCUUUAUCCUAAGCAUAAUUCUAGUCUAUUAUUUGAUAAGAAAAUUGUACAACUGUGAAUUUUACCCAUGUUCUGUUGUCCUUCAGUUGUCCUUCAGUUGUCACUGUGUAUUUACUGUGAGCAAUUGUGAUGAAGUUUAAACUUUUAAUGUGUGCCUUAAAUAAUAUAUUUCAUUUUUGGAAACAAUACACCUAUGUUGUUUGCUUUGUUCUAGUGUAUUGAAUUAUUUUAUUACUUUUUUCAUCAAAGUGCAGGCUGCCCUCUAGUGUUGUUUGACUGGUGUUACAACAAAUGGCUCAAAUGUGGGGAGUCUUGGUAUGACUGCUGAGAAUAUUUCACUAAAGACAACAUUUUAAAUAAAUAGUUAAGUAAAAAGUGCAUUUACUUACAUGAGGCAUCAAAAAGACUUCCUCUUUUGCUGCAGUUGACAAGCUUUAUGAGCUGUUCUCUCCCUCUUACACACACUCAUCCACUGUUUACGAUUUGAGCUAACUGCUCCCUGAGGUCAUCUGGAGGGUACGGCCCAUUCCUUCCUCCACUGCAGACUUCGCUGAGGCAGCGCUUUCCACAAUAUUGGCUCAACUAGAGAGGGGAUUUUCGGUUGAUAAAUGCUUCCACUUCUGACUGGCACUGCUGCAGAUAAGCAGGCCACCUCAGCAUAUAAAUUAGGCUUUAAGAUGUUUAAAGUAAAAUAUGAGACAAAAAUUUUGAAAAGAAAUGUAUUCUGAGAUUUGCUGCCAUAUUCCUGAUUAAAAAAGGGUUGCUACAUUGUCUUCAACACAAAAUUUGAUGUUCUUUCAUCCAUUUUCUAUUCAUGAUCUUAACUUGAAAUCGUAAGUUUACAUACAUCAAUUAAAAAAAAAAAACA